CCCCAGACCGGAUGGCCAGGACGUGGGCAGUGUGAGUGCCACUGAAAAUCAUUUCGCAUGCUGCCUUCGACAAGCGUGCCAUAGGUUGCCUACCCCUGACAUAGACCAUCUCUA